GACAGAGGCCUCGAGCGUUAGGCGGAAUCACUGGGCUUAAAGCGUGUGUAGGCGGGCCCGUAAGUGUCUUGUGAAAUCCCCAGGCUCAACCUGGGAACUGCGUCCGAUACUGGCAGGCUUGAAUCCGGGAGAGGGAUGUGGAAUUCCAGGUGUAGCGGUGAAAUGCGUAGAUAUCUGGAGGAACACCGGUGGCGAAGGCGGCAUCCUGGACCGGUAUUGACGCUGAGGCGCGAAAGCUAGGGGAGCAAACGGG
rnacentral:rRNA from 1 species